rnacentral:rRNA from 1 species
AGAGUUUGAUCAUGGCUCAGGACGAACGCUGGCGGCGUGCCUAACACAUGCAAGUCGAGCGAUGAAGUCUCGGAACGGAUUAGCGGCGGACGGGUGAGUAACACGUGGGUAACCUGCCUUGUAGAGGGGGAUAGCCUUCCGAAAGGAAGAUUAAUACCGCAUAACAUCUUUUUAUCGGCAUGGUAGAAAGAUCAAAGGAGUAAUCCGCUACAAGAUGGACCCGCGGCGCAUUAGGCUAGUUGGUGAGGUAACGGCUCACCCAAGGCGACGAUGCGUAGCCGACCUGAGAGGGUGAUCGGCCACAUUGGAACUGAGACACGGUCCAGACUCCUACGGGAGGCAGCAGGUGGGGAAUAUUGCGCAAUGGGGAAACCCUAGACGCAGCAACGCCGCGUGAAUGAAGAAGGCCUUAGGGUUGUAAAGUUCUGUUUACGGGGACGAUAAUGACGGUACCCGUGGAGGAAGCCACGGCUAACUACGUGCCAGCAGCAGC